GAAUUCUUGGGCCUCUUUGAUAUGCUGAAUCUAAACAUGUACUUAGAUUUUUGAUUAUGGGCCCAGUUUUCAAGUUGGUCCAAAUCAGGAUCUAAAAUUAUUAUAUUAAGUAUUGUGCAAUAGCAAGUCUUUUUCAAUUGCACAGUAUUGUGCAAUGGCAAGAAAUAUCUAAUUGCACAAUAUUGUGAAAUAGCAAUUUUUUUUUUAAUUAGAGUUAUCUUUCUUUGUCCAGAAUAGUAAGCAAGAAAUAUCCUAUUUGUGCAAUAGCAAGAAUUUUUUUUAAUUGGAGUUAUCUUUCUUUGUCCAGAAUCAACUUAAAUCUUUGUUAUAUACAAUAUACAAUGUAUAUACACUUUUUACUACCAACUGAUAAA
rnacentral:lncRNA from 1 species